rnacentral:misc_RNA from 1 species
UGAAGAUGGUACAGAAUAUAACGCCUGACUUCGCAACACAUCUAUUAGUUCCAGAAGUCUGAAGUUCAAGUGAAAAUCAAGUCGCUGCUUCGAACGGGUCAAGUGGCUAUCGCUGCAGUCCUCGAUCUUUGAAGCAUCAGAGAAGAGAGAUAGGGCGAGGAGGAGAGAAGAAAGCGAGGACAUCCUGGUCGCGGGGUCCUCGCCCUCGACGUCUCUGUGCUCGUGUACGUAAGCCGGUACGUGGGCCAGCCAGCUCCCGUCAUCGCUGCUCUCCGGGCCUGUGUACAGUCGACAAUUACACGGGUUACGUCAUCCCCCGGGUAGUCGCCUCCCGGACUCUCGGUACCCGCGUCUCUCACCUCUCGUCCGCAGCGCGCGACCGACACGCGAAACCCGGUUCUUCGACGCUCGGCGGCGUUUCUUUUCACGCGAUACAAUCACCCUGUGGAUGUAUCGCUCCGUUUUUUCGCACGUUCUUUGAUCCGAUGAAAGCUUUUACUGAAAUGGAAGAAUUCAACGCCGGAGGCAGGUGCGAUAUCCGCAAUGCAAUGGAAGCUGGGAGGAAAAGAGCCGAAAAGCUCGACGUGCCUUUUGGUCGAUACUUUGACCACACUAAACGCUUGUUGAAAUUAUUCCGAAUGUGGGAAUUGGACGCCAACUCGUCGAAGUGGCAAAGCAUGUUGAUAGUUUCAAGCACGGCGGUGUUCCUGACGUGCAACUUCAUGCUCGGAUUUUCAGAGAUGAUGAAACUUCGGAUAGCUCCGGAUCUUGCGACUGCUGUAUCCUGUGCCAGUACCUUGUGGCUUCACUUGAUCGGAUUCGUCAAGUGGAUCUACUUGGCAUGGAGAGUUCGGGAUGUCAUGCAGCUCGUUGGACUACUCGAGGAUUGCUAUCAUCUCAGCCUGGGAAAUAACGAAACGGACGAAGACUAUUCGCAACUUCGGAAGGAAAUGAAUGCCGCGCGAAAGAUUUCCGUGCGAUUCAGUUACGUCUGGGUCAUAGGUGUCACCUACGGGAUCAUUCACUGGUGCCUAAACCCGUUGUUCUUCAAGUGGAAACUGAGUAGAGUAGACGUCAGUUUGGCGAUGAGAGACAGAACUCUGCCGUACGAGAGCUGGAGUCCGUGGGAUCUGAAUCGGGUCGAAGUCUACGGAUACGUUUACUUGAUUCAAGUUUUGGGCGGUCUUGCUUCCAGCAUAGGAAGUGUCGCGUAUGAUAUAAUGUUCCUGACGUUGGUGAUAAUGAUAUGCGCCCAAUUGGGCUACCUAAAUUAUGCAUUGGUACACAAGCCGCAUAGCUAUCCAACCAUGACAUCUUCGGAGAAAAAGAAGCUGACGUGUGUCUUGCUUCGGAAUAAACUAGUCCGUAGCAAGAAUCAUCACGAUGCUAUUUUGGCAUUUUUGGCUGGCUUGCAAAAAGUCACCAGCCCAGUGAUGUUCGUUCAGUGUAUCGGAACCAUCGGCAUACUUUGUUUGGUCUCCUUCGAAGUAAUGACUAUGAAGCUGAAGGGGGAUGUUGCAAACGUGACAAAAAUUUGGAGUAUGGUGGAAUAUAUCAGCUCUUGCUUUGCUCAGCUAUUCUUUUUUUGUUACUACGCCGAUCACAUGACGACAUUGGGACUGAAAAUCAGCGAUUCGACUUACAGCUCUGGUUGGGAAUCUGUGACUGACGAUGAAAAAAACUCUGCAUCUGACAGAAAAUCUAUCGGAUUUAUAGUGCGUGAAAUAAUGGUCAGAGCUCAACGGCACGUUCAAUUAACCGGUGGGCCUUUCUACGUUCUUUCGUUACGAACUUAUCGUGCAGUGGUCGGAGCUGCAUUUUCAUAUUCAGCGGUGCUCCGAGAAGUCGGCGCGGAAUAGAAAAAAGACGAAAAAAAAUUCGGAUCAUAAUCUAAGUUCGGAAAGUCUACUAGCGUAUAGGUCAUUAUAAACCCAAAGUAAACUCGGCGUAAUAGACGUAGCGCCAGAUAUCAGAGUGUGAAUUAAGAAUGGCUACGCCGUACAUGUCGCUACUAUUGCAAGGGAGCCAGUGAAAAUCGCCAGGGUGGGUCGAGCGUAGCGGCAAUAAGUGGAAGUCGAGAGUGGCUGGUCGGCCCGAAGCCAGCCCAACGGCAGCAGUGAUCGCAUGAGGAAAAGAUAGAGGUACAAGCGCAAGCGCUCGUUCGUUUCAUAGCUUACGGAACGGCUUCUCGCGUGUACUGGUAUCCUGGUAAAAAGGCGACGCGCCGCAGAUGACUCGCGCACCCGGUGCGCACUUGGCGUGCGUGAUCACCUAUUUCGACGCACCCGGAUCUGCUCUGGCUUUGCCACGGCAUCGGCGCCUCGCGCAUCGACGCGACGGGGAACGAUCCAACCUCUAAUAUAACCAGUCCAACUCCAUCAGCGCAGGCAACCCAAUCCCCGAUAGAUGGAGUGAAGCGGCUACAACGAAGAGUCCGAAAUGGAACGUGCAGAAACGUGGAGCGUAGAUUAAUUGUCAAGUGUUAAAGAUAGAAAAUCGCGCUUCUGGGCUCUGGCAAGCGAACAUGAAGCAGACGCAAAAUCGUGAUGACUUGUGAUUUAUUUUGUUACCCGAAUGGAAAGAUUCUCACAAUCAGACUCCCCCACGCGUCUGAAUCGCUGGUCGGCCGGCCGAGGGCCACCCACAACCGUGUACGAAACCCGCGCUUUGAUCAGGAGAGUAUGAGUCAAGAGGGGGUCGAGCUGAGCUCCAAUGCUUUGCUGAGCGCCUGAUACUUUGUAGGCGACUGCCGAAUGCACGUGGUUGUCUCUCGCCCGUUAUUGGCGCCUACUUACCCGGUCCAGUGUCAUCGUCACGCCUUUUCUCCAAGUAGAUCCUCAGUGAUGAGUAGAUUCUACGUUACAACUCAGUAUCGAAGUCGGAGUGGGGAUCUACGGAUGUUUAAACGCGCUGCACACCGCGACCCUAGGCAGAGGGACGAGACACAGCCAACCUUUGGGCUCCUCAAGCUUCCUAAUCUCCUGAUUCAGAAUCCGCGGGAUGCGGGCUCUCUAAGGCAGAGAUCGGUAUGCGUCACGUGUGAAUCACGUAGAAGUUCGCCCUCCACCAAAGCGUCUUCAGCGUCAUCUCCGUCGGCCCUGAGGCCUGGACUACGAGACGGUGUAUCAUUGACACCCGCAACGGAGCCACUCACCUGCCCAUCAAAAGACGCAAAGUCAUCCGCGCUGGCUAACCAAGUAUCGGGCAAUCAUGAGGACGCAGAGUAGCCGGAGCGAGGAUCGAGACGAGAGCAGCGUCGGUACCGCCUCCUGGCCGAUAUGUUCGCCUUGUGGGUCUUUGGCGAAAUGUGGACGCCUUUCGGGAACUGUUUUUCCCUCGAUACCCUUAACGGCUAAAUCCAACGUACCCGGGCGAGCGGGACUCUUACGGUCACGACGUUACCCACCUGAAUGAGGAUCUUGUAAUCUUUGACGAAAAGCACCGACCGCGAUCGUACGGUGUAUGGGAAUAAGGGAAUCACGGUACAUAUCUGGCGAGGCUGACACCUGUGCAUCUUCAUGUACUGAUUGGUACUUACUUACGUACUGGCUGACUUGCUCAAUUUCUCUUCACCAAUAUUUCAUCGGGUAUAGAUUAUCGCCCGAUUUAUCCCGCGGUAGCGAACAUCAGCCGAGUCCACUUGCCUAGAAAAAAGUCGUAAGAUGGCAGCAGCCUUCGAGGGUGAAACUCAGAUGGGUUGCAAUGGAAACGGGACGGCGUGCGGUCAAUGGACGGGCAGGAGGGAUCUGAAGAAAUGAAUUUUAUUUAACGACCGAU